rnacentral:tRNA from 1 species
GUCUUAGUAAUUUAAUAAAAAUAUUGGUCUUGUAAACCAAAAAUAAGGACAAACCUUCUAAAACU